CACCAGGUGGCGUAUAUAUGUGUACAUAUUGAUAAUUCGGAUAAAUAUGGCUCAGUGUUCUAUCAAGUCUUGUGAAAUAUGUGAGAGUUCUCCAGGGAGCAGGUUCUGUGUAGACUGUGAACAGUACUUUUGUAACGUAUGUGAAAUAUCACACUUAAAAACAAAAACAUGUAAACAUCACGUUUUUCAACAUGCACAUACAGUC
rnacentral:lncRNA from 1 species